AUUGAACGCUGGCGGCAGGCCUAACACAUGCAAGUCGAGCGAGCGGCGGACGGGUGAGUACUGUCUGGGAACCUGCUUGUUGGAGGGGGAUAACUACAGGAAACGGUAACUACUACUGCAUCCCAUCAGAUGUGCCCAGAUGGGAUUAGCUAGUUGGUGGGGUAACGGCUCACUUAGGCGACGAUCCCUAGCUGGUCUGAGAGGAUGACCAGCCACACUGGAACUGAGACACGGUCCAGACUCCUACGGGAGGCAGCAGUGGGGAAUAUUGCACAAUGGGCGAAAGCCUGAUACAGCCAUGCCGCGUGUGUGAAGAAGGCCUUCGGGUUGUAAAGCACUUUAAGCGGGGAGGCGUUACCCGCAGAAGAAGCACCGGCUAACUCCGUGCCAGCAGCCGCGGUAAUUC
rnacentral:rRNA from 1 species